rnacentral:rRNA from 1 species
AUUGAACGCUGGCGGCGUGCCUGACACAUGCAAGUCGAGCGGUAACAGGUGUAGCAAUACAUGCUGACGAGCGGCGAACGGGUGAGUAAUGCUUCGGAAUCUACCCAAUGGUGGGGAAUAACCAGCCGAAAGGUUGGCUAAUACCGCAUACGUCCCACGGGAGAAAGCAGGGGAUCGCAAGACCUUGCGCCAAUGGAUGAGCCGAAGUCGGAUUAGCUAGNGGUAGGGUAACGGCCUACCAAGGCGACGAUCCGUAGCUGGUCUGAGAGGACGACCAGCCACACUGGGACUGAGACACGGCCCAGACUCCUACGGGAGGCAGCAGUGGGGAAUAUUGGACAAUGGGGGAAACCCUGAUCCAGCGACGCC